rnacentral:rRNA from 1 species
CAUCCUCCAAGGCUAAAUACUCCUGACUGACCGAUAGUGAACCAGUACCGUGAGGGAAAGGCGAAAAGAACCCCGGCGAGGGGAGUGAAAAAGAACCUGAAACCGUGUACGUACAAGCAGUGGGAGCCUCUUUUAUGGGGUGACUGCGUACCUUUUGUAUAAUGGGUCAGCGACUUAUAUUCUGUAGCAAGGUUAACCGUAUAGGGGAGCCGGAGGGAAACCGAGUCUUAAUUGGGCGUUAAGUUGCAGGGUAUAGACCCGAAACCCGGUGAUCUAGCCAUGGGCAGGUUGAAGGUUGGGUAACACUAACUGGAGGACCGAACCGACUAAUGUUGAAAAAUUAGCGGAUGACCUGUGGCU